AUAUGCGUAUCACUUCGUUCCACAAGUACAGCCAAAGAUUAUAUACUCGAGCAUCUCAGACGUUGUGAUUAUGGUGAUGCUGGAUUUCAGUAGAAUGAAAUGCAUUAAAAAUAGUAGAAUUAGUAACUUGACACUAAUUUUCCAACAAAGAUGUUAUUUCCUUUAAAAUGCAAAAAAUAAGAAAGAAACUCAAUGGCAACAAGUUGUUUGGAUAGAUCAGUAUAACUCAAAAAUAUUACUCUAACAUGAUCACAAUCUACUUAAAUAGUCUCCUUUUAUUUAAUUGAUGCAGUAAAAAUGUAUUUUAUGGAAAUACGUGGGGUAUAGGAACUUAUGUGUUGAAUGAAAAUUACAGAUACUAUAGGUGAUUUUAUCUUUAUCCAAAAUUUCCUGCCAUAGGAACUAAUGUCUUCCAGCAAGAUUAUCCAUAGUAGGGAUGGCAAAUAAAUUGAAUAAAUUCUGAAGAUUGACAAAGACAUUUUACUUGAGAGACCGUAUUAUUCAGUGGCAGAAUUUUACCAUUUACCAUAGCCUCAAUAGAAUGGCAUAAUUCAAUUUAGUGUGAGCUCUUUCCAAUCCUUUGAUGAAAAUAAUAAUGGGAAAGGACAUUUAUUAUUGUUGUAUUACUUAUUUGACAGAAGAAAUAUUUUUCUAGACUGUUUAAGAAUACAUUUGAACUAUUGUUGA